AACGAACGCUGGCGGCAGGCCUAACACAUGCAAGUCGAACGCCCCGCAAGGGGAGUGGCAGACGGGUGAGUAACACGUGGGAACGUACCCUUUGGUUCGGAACAACUCCGGGAAACUGGAGCUAAUACCGAAUAAGCCCUACGGGGGAAAGAUUUAUCGUCGAAGGAUCGGCCCGCGUCGGAUUAGCUAGUUGGUGGGGUAAAAGCCUACCAAGGCGACGAUCCGUAGCUGGUCUGAGAGGAUGACCAGCCACACUGGGACUGAGACACGGCCCAGACUCCUACGGGAGGCAGCAGUGGGGAAUAUUGGACAAUGGGCGCAAGCCUGAUCCAGCCAUGCCGCGUGAGUGAUGAAGGCCUUAGGGUUGUAAAGCUCUUUCGCCAGGGACGAUAAUGACGGUACCUGGAUAAGAAGCCCCGGCUAACUUCGUGCCAGCAGCCGCCGUAAUAC
rnacentral:rRNA from 1 species